GCCCACAAGUCCUCUUACAUGAUGGUUCCUUCAACCUUCAUCUAUUCCUUCUCGUCCUCCUCACUCACAUCUCUUCCUUAUCCUGCUCCUCCUCCAAAUCCACUCAUGAGCCCUCUCCCUCUAUGAUGGCUCUCUCCAUCUCCAUUUUUUUUAUUGAAAAUAUAAAAUAUAAAUUUAUUUUUUAUGAUAGUCUAUUGCAAUUUAAUCGAACUAACA
rnacentral:lncRNA from 1 species